GACGAACGCUGGCGGCGUGCUUAACACAUGCAAGUCGAACGGAAAGGCCCUGCAUUUGUGGGGUGCUCGAGUGGCGAACGGGUGAGUAACACGUGAGUAACCUGCCCUUGACUUUGGGAUAACUUCAGGAAACUGGGGCUAAUACCGGAUAGGAGCUCCUGCUGCAUGGUGGGGGUUGGAAAGUUUCGGCGGUUGGGGAUGGACUCGCGGCUUAUCAGCUUGUUGGUGGGGUAGUGGCUUACCAAGGCUUUGACGGGUAGCCGGCCUGAGAGGGUGACCGGCCACAUUGGGACUGAGGUACGGCCCAGACUCCUACGGGAGGCAGCAGUGGGGAAUAUUGCACAAUGGGCGGAAGCCUGAUGCAGCAACGCCGCGUGCGGGAUGAAGGCCUUCGGGUUGUAAACCGAUUUCGCCUGUGACGAAGCGUGAGUGACGGUAAUGGGUAAAGAAGCACCGGCUAACUACGUG
rnacentral:rRNA from 1 species